rnacentral:siRNA from 1 species
UGCGAGUUACUUGCCUGGUC